GUUUAUACAAUUCCUGUCCAGGUCUAGGAACGAUGGUAAUAGACAUCACAAAUACUGGACUAGUCUUCAGCGAUCAGAUCUCCUGGAAACCGAGUGGAUGGGCGAGUAAGAUUGAUCACGUGACACGAAUUAAUAAUCAAGUUAUAGAAGGACGUUGUGAUGGAUAUUGCGGUGGCUGUAUGCCUGUAUCACCAAUAACCUUUGAAUUGGAUUCCAGUUAUGUUCAUAAUUGGAGUGAGGCUACAGUUGUGAGCUGUGGUGCGACAUGAUUCUUAGAUAAUAAUUAACUUAUCCAGGCCAUAAUCAACACUCGAUGGCAUCGGAUUAGAACAGUUCAGCGAUAUUCUGAUUUAAGCUAAAA